rnacentral:sRNA from 1 species
UUUGUUUUUCUGUUUCUU